GAUGAACGCUGGCGGCGUGCCUAAUACAUGCAAGUCGAGCGAAUGGAUUAAGAGCUUGCUCUUAUGAAGUUAGCGGCGGACGGGUGAGUAACACGUGGGUAACCUGCCCAUAAGACUGGGAUAACUCCGGGAAACCGGGGCUAAUACCGGAUAACAUUUUGAACCGCAUGGUUCGAAAUUGAAAGGCGGCUUCGGCUGUCACUUAUGGAUGGACCCGCGUCGCAUUAGCUAGUUGGUGAGGUAACGGCUCACCAAGGCAACGAUGCGUAGCCGACCGGAGAGGGUGGUCGGCCACACGGGGACUGAGACACGGCCCAGACUCCUACGGGAGGCAGCAGUAGGGAAUCUUCCGCAAUGGACGAAAGGCUGACGGAGCAACGCCGCGUGAGUGAUGAAGGCUUUCGGGUCGUAAAACUCUGUUGUUAGGGAAGAACAAGUGCUAGUUGAAUAAGCUGGCACCUUGACGGUACCUAACCAGAAAGCCACGGCUAACUACGUGCCAGCAGCCGCAGUAA
rnacentral:rRNA from 1 species